UAGUUUAUAACCGAAUUCAUUAUUUAUUUCGUUAACAUUAAGAAGCUCGUUAAUUAAUUUAUAUCAAUUCAUCUUAUUUAGUUUUAGCCAAAUUCACCAAUUAAACUCAAUUUGGCUAACUUCUUAAUUCACAUUUGCCAUAAUUAUAAUUCUUAUGGCCAUUUUUUGCAUGACCAAGUAUUGGGCCAUUUUUCUUCUUCACUCAAUUAGUUCCAUCAGCCCAAUGAUCAGCUCCUCCUAAAAUAACCCAGGCCCAACACUCUUAUAACAAAACUGCCAACCCAUAUAAUAAUACAUACAACAAACAACGGUACUAGCCGACCCACUGUUGACAUCUUCUCCUUCACGCAAAAAACAAGCAGAAAUCCAGCAACGUGAUAACCAGAAACGAGCCAGCAACCCAGACCCGGUCUAGCAGUAGCAACAGCGUGCACGACACGCAUGAACGACCCUGAACGCGCUUCGUCUCCUUCACGCGAGGGCGAGUUCACGCAAUCGACAGCUCCCUCAGCCCUGCUCUGCAACAACCGCCCAUUUUGAUCUUUUCCAUCCGGAUUUUAGGGGGUUUUGGUUGAAUUUCCAUACAACAACAGCUUUUCCUUACCUUUGGAGGAAAAAUUUGAAUUGAUUUGGUUGGGGAAUUCCGAUUUUGCCCCAAGUUCCUAUCCGUUUUCUUCCCCAAAUCUGCCCUAAUUUCCUGGCUAUAUAUAUUCUCUAUUAUUCACUGUAAAUGGGGGGAAAAAAUUUGAAAACAAAAAAAAAAAGUUGGGAGAAGGUUGGCAAGAAACAGAAGGAAAAUCAAAGAGAAAUAGCUCAAGAGUCGGAGACAACAAUUAUAUUUAUAUAUAGAAAAUACAUAUAGAAUUAGUUAUAGAUAUAUUAUAAGGACUUGGAGUCUAGAUCUUUGGAGUUUUUCUUUUCUCGUCUUUGGCUAACUGAAGCUGGUCGGAACCUAACUCGUGGUGAAAAGCUUUCGCUCAGCUCGUUUGUCUCAGUUUCUGCUUGACAAGAGGUAAACUCUUCUUCUUUUGUGAUGAUCUUCUUUAUCUUUUAUUUUUCGUGUUAACAUUUCUAGCGUGAUGAAACUUUCUUUUGAUUUGAGAAUUAUAGCAGUUGUUUGUGUUUGUUUCUUUUUAUUUAUUUAUUAUUAUUUUUUUUUUAUUUUUUUUAAAGGUUCCAUAGGUCUGGUCUAAAUGGUUUCAAAAUUGGGUUGUGAGAGUAGUAUAAGGCUGUUAUUUUAUCUCUUGUCAUCUUAUAUCAAGUUUUGUCUAUUCAUUCGUUUGGUUUCAAAUAUCUGAUUUUAGUUCAAUUUGAAAGCUAUAGCCUAAAUCUUUCCUGCCUCUUAAGUUAUGGAAAUCCGAGUUAUUCUAGUUGCGAAUCUGCCUGAAGAAUGCAAGUUUGUUUAUAUCGUUAAUCUCGAUUCGUGCAAAUAUGAUUUCGUAGAAUAUGUGGCUUUAAUUUAUGUCGGUCAUUGCCUCCAAUUCAUCCCUUGAAUGCUCUGGUCGUCUGGUAGGUUGACUUUGAUGAAAUUUCAUGGCUUAGUUGCAAGUUUGCCUGUUGAUGCUACUGCUUUUAGAAGAGUUAAUUCGGUUAAAAUGAUGUACCAUGGUCUAGGUAGUUAUGAUGGAUCACAUGCUUGAAAAUGUCUCUGUGUUGGAUACAUAUUCAUUUGAAAACGUUAUUUUUAUUGGGCUGCCAUCAAACCUCUUCUGUUAUUGCAACUCUAGUUACUAACAUAUUUUACUUUAUUUUAGUCUUAAAAAAUGGCUUAGUUCCCUUCCUAGCAUGUAUGCUCUUCCUCGAAAUCUUUUUUUUCUUUAGUGCACAGUGUUCAAAGUUGAACAAUAUAUCCAGUAGCUUUGUCCAUGUUUGAUUUUGUUUCAUUCCUCCUUGUUUAAGCUUAUUUUGUUAUAAUAAAGUUAGUAAUUAUUAGUUAUGUUACCUUCAUUAUUCUUCAUCUUGGAUGUACCUAAUUGUCAUUAUUCUAUAUUAACAUUUUGAUUAGCAUUAGCUUUGAAUAGGGGGGGGGGGGGGGUUCUUUUUAGUAAUUAUUAGUUAUGUUGCCUUCAUUAUUCUUCAUCUUGAAUCUACCUAAUUGUCAUUGUUCCAUAUUAACAUUUUGAUUAGCAUUAGCUUUAAAUAGGGGGCUGCUCAUUUUUCUUGCAUUUUAUUUCAUAGAUUCUAGUUCUUUAUGUGGAAUUUAUCUUGUCUAAAUCCUCUAUGAUUGAGUGGUUAUGCAUAAAUGAGAUUUUGUUCCCUAUUUUGCCUUUUGACGGAAAGUUUUCUUUGCCCAUGGUUUAUGUGAUUUGCAUAUAUUAUGUAGAUUUAAGAUCUUGGUUGCUUGCAUGUUAAAGCCUCAUAUUUAGUAGGUUAAGGUGGAAUGGCUAUAUUUCUUUGAACUAUUGUUGAGAAUAUAUUUUGUGUCCAAUUGGGUAUUAAAAUCACUUAUAAUAAUUCUUUUAUCUUAGUUCUUAGUCAAUUAUUUAGCUUGCCUUGAAGGAGCUCUUUGUAAUAUUCAAAUGGGUUUUCCUAAUAUGUAUUGUUCAAGUGUGAUUCAUGCUCGAUUGAUUAAGUGAGCAUUCAUCUAGAGUUAGUUGGAUUGCUUUUCUUUUAUUGUCAAAUAGAGAAUGUGGUCAAUAGAAAUAUCACUGUGUGUAUAUACAUAUAUUAUAUAAUAUUAUUAUUAUUAUUUUAUUUUAUUUUUGCUUUUUGUAAAGUCACUAAUGCUCAUUAUUUAUAUUUCUUUGCAUGAAUGGCCUCUUGGGAUGAGCCCGACCACCCCAUUUUCCUCGCAUUCUCUCUGUUGGGCUUCAACCCAACAGUUCGAGUCAACCUUCGGUGAAAUACAGGUGUUCGGAAGCAAGAUAUACACGAAAAACACCUAUGAUAUACAUCAGAUAUAUACAAAAACGGGAUUAGAUUAAAGCAAAAAAAAAUAAUCAGCGAAAUUGGCCCAAAAGGAGGCCCAAAUUCAUUUCUACCUUACUCUUUAAUUAUUUAAUUGUGAUUAUUUAUUGUUCGUUGUUUAACUCUAACUUUAGAAUUUUUAAUUAACUUAAUUAGAUCCCCCAAAAGACGAGCUAUUUCUA
rnacentral:lncRNA from 1 species